rnacentral:rRNA from 1 species
AGAGUUUGAUCCUGGCUCAGGAUGAACGCUGGCGGCGUGCUUAAGACAUGCAAGUCGAACGCAAUUUGGCCGCAAGGCUGAGUUGAGUGGCGAAUGGGUGCGUAACACGUAGGUGACCUGCCCGGAAGUGGGGAAUAACAGUCCGAAAGGACUGCUAAUACCGCAUACGGUGCACGGGUUUUGAAGCCGUGUUCCAAAGGUACGAGAAAUCGUGCCGCUUUCGGAGGGGCCUGCGGCCCAUCAGCUAGUUGGUAGGGUAACGGCCUACCAAGGCGACGACGGGUAGGGGACCUGAGAGGGUGACCCCCCACACUGGCACUGACACACGGGCCAGACUCCUACGGGAGGCAGCAGUCGGGAAUAUUGCCCAAUGGACGAAAGUCUGAGGCAGCAACGCCGCGUGCGCGAUGAAGGCCUUCGGGUCGUAAAGCGCUUUUCGGGUGGAUGAGAGAGGACAGUACACCCGGAAUCAGGUACGGCUAACUACGUGCCAGCAGCCGCGGUAAAACGUAGGUACCGAGCGUUAUCCGGAUUUACUGGGCGUAAAGCGCGUUCAGGCGGUUUGACAAGUCGGGCAUGAAAUCUCUCGGCUCAACCGGGAGAGGUUGUCCGAUACUGUCAGACUGGAGGGCAGUAGAGGGUGGUGGAAUUCCGGGUGUAGUGGUGAAAUGCGUAGAGAUCCGGAGGAACACCAGUGGCGAAAGCGGCCACCUGGACUGCACCUGACGCUGAAACGCGAAAGCUAGGGGAGCGAACGGGAUUAGAAACCCCGGUAGUCCUAGCUAUAAACGAUGUUGACUAGGUGUCGACGGGUUAAAAUCCGCCGGUGCCGGAGCAAACGCAUUAAGUCAACCGCCUGGGGACUACGGCCGCAAGGUUAAAACUCAAAAGGAAUUGACGG